rnacentral:rRNA from 1 species
AAUAGAUACCCCGGUAGUCCACGCCGUAAACGAUGAGUGCUAAGUGUUAGAGGGUUUCCGCCCUUUAGUGCUGCAGCUAACGCAUUAAGCACUCCGCCUGGGGAGUACGGUCGCAAGACUGAAACUCAAAGGAAUUGACGGGGGCCCGCACAAGCGGUGGAGCAUGUGGUUUAAUUCGAAGCAACGCGAAGAACCUUACCAGGUCUUGACAUCCUCUGACAACUCUAGAGAUAGAGCGUUCCCUUCGGGGGACAGAGUGACAGGUGGUGCAUGGUUGUCGUCAGCUCGUGUCGUGAGAUGUUGGGUUAAGCCCCGCAACGAGCGCAACCCUUGAUCUUAGUUGCCAGCAUUUAGUUGGGCACUCUAAGGUGACUGCCGGUGACAAACCGGAGGAAGGUGGGGAUGGACGUCAAAUCAUCAUGCCCCUUAUGACCUGGGCUACACACGUGCUACAAUGGAUGGUACAAAGGGCUGCAAGACCGCGAGGUCAAGCCAAUCCCAUAAAACCAUUCUCAGUUCGGAUUGUAGG